rnacentral:rRNA from 1 species
CCAGAGAUGGAUUGGUGCCUUCGGGAACUCUGAGACAGGUGCUGCAUGGCUGUCGUCAGCUCGUGUUGUGAAAUGUUGGGUUAAGUCCCGCAACGAGCGCAACCCUUAUCCUUUGUUGCCAGCGGUUCGGCCGGGAACUCAAAGGAGACUGCCAGUGAUAAACUGGAGGAAGGUGGGGAUGACGUCAAGUCAUCAUGGCCCUUACGAGUAGGGCUACACACGUGCUACAAUGGCAUAUACAAAGAGAAGCGACCUCGCGAGAGUAAGCGGACCUCAUAAAGUAUGUCGUAGUCCGGAUUGGAGUCUGCAACUCGACUCCAUGAAGUCGGAAUCGCUAGUAAUCGUGGAUCAGAAUGCCACGGUGAAUACGUUCCCGGGCCUUGUACACACCGCCCGUCACACCAUGGGAGUGGGUUGCAAAAGAAGUAGGUAGCUUAACCUUCGGGAGGGCGCUUACCACUUUGUGAUUCAUGACUGGGGUGAAGUCGUAACAAGGUAACCGUAGGGGAACCUGCGGUUGGAUCACCUCCUUA